rnacentral:snRNA from 1 species
ACAUAUGAGGGCAAUCUGGAUGCGACAUCUGUCAUCUCAUUGAUUGCCAGGGUUCAUUUGGUUGAUCUGGCUGGCUAGGCAAGCAUCCCCUUCCUUCCUUCCUCACCACUCCAUGGACAUUGCUUCCAAAGCUGUGCAUUCAGUGGAAGAGGACGAUGUUCCAGGUAUAGAAGGAGUGUAUUGAGGUCUUCAGUCCUGGAUAGACUAUAGCUGCGCUCCCCUACUAGAACCCCCAAACAAGAUCCAUCAUACUGUAAACAUUCCCAUUUUGCAGAAUGUGGAAAACAUGCUGCUUUGGCUACAGCUACAAAUGCCAUAUGAUUUGGGAGUUGU